CUAAUCUUCCUAUCCUUUGCAUAGCGUCGUACUCUCCCCCUGCGAAGAAAGAAAAAGCUUUUUCUUUUUCCUCCCGGCAAACCCUAGAUCGGCGCCGCCGCCGCCGCCACCGGGGUACUCUCCCCGGCCGGCCAGCCCCCGUCGAUUCGGCUCUCUGGAAGGCUGGCACACCGGAUCCGCGACGUCGGGGGAUGGUGUUCUGCUCUCGCCGUGGGGGAGAGUGUCCGGCGCCGGCCGGUGCGCUGGAGAAGUGGAAAUCGAUCUCCUCGCCGGCCGGCGGCGGCGGCGGCUUUUCUUCGCCGGAUGUAUCCGGUGACGGUUAUUUGAUUCUUGUCUCUGUUUUCUCUUUUUUUUCCUUGUAUGUAUAAACGAUUUAUUUUCUCAAGAUAGAGAGGAAAAGCUCUGUAUGCUGUUCUUCCGAUGGAUAGCGACCGUGCGCUUGUUGGAGCGGCCAAAGGCGCCGGCUUUUCCGCCGGUAUGGUCUUGUCGCAUAUGACAUCCGCCUGCGAUUGGUGAUGCCUCAUGAGGUCAACUCUUUUUUUUUUGUCGAGAGUAUUUGAUUUGAAGGGGACUAUUUUUUCGAGAGGAUUUGGACUUGAAGAGAAUGAGGACGUGCGAUGAUUGAAGUUUCGGGACCUGAAUCUCAGUCGGGAUGGUCAUUAGGCGAGAGAAUUACAAAGUGAUUAUAAUCAUUAUAUGGCGUGAUUUGUAGGUCCAGAGAUCCGUAUUUCUGUGGCUUGAGAAGCAUCAUGCUGUUCGGACUUUAUUGGAAGUUGUCAUUAUAUUUUGUUGGCAUAUCACUGGCAAUAUACAAGUGUUAUUACAGAGUGAACUAAAAUGGAGAUGGUCAUUCUAUUGUUCUGUAUUUAUCAUGCGGAUUUUGCUCGCGCACAAGGAUUUUGAAAGCAUGUUCAUCUUACAAGUUGGAGAAUAUUUUCCUUUCAUGUCCAUAUUAUUUGCCAGCACCGUGCACAGACAAGUCGUUGUUAACAAUGGAGGUUGUCCAAUCAUCACGGAACUCCUUUUCAUGUGAUGCUACGUGGCAAGAACACAAAUAGAUAUGCAAUGUUGGGUAACAUAACAAAGAACAUUAUGUGAGAAGAUUUCUCUAUGGUUCCUAGUUGGAUGAGCUGGAAUUAUGUGAGAAGAAUAUUGUGGUCUUCGGGCUGUUCGCUGCUUUCUGCUAGAGAAGUUUGGAAGUAUCUACAGUUAUUUUGUGGUAAAGGAGAAUUGUUGGGUGGUGAGUUUUAUGCAGCGAAGGAGAUCGAACAUGACAUCCUAUGAGGUUUGCUGGGAAAGGAAAUUUAAAUAAAAAACAUAUAGUGAUUCUUCUCAGAAUUGGUUCGAGUUGUAUACUUUGCUCUCAAUGGAAUUAUGGCAGAAGCCCACUGGCUAUAAAUUGAUGCAAUCAGAAGCUACUUCUAGUGCUACCUAUUUAAUUAGUGCGGAUUGGACUAUAACAGAGAGCUGCAAAUUAUCAUACAAAAUAACACUUGAAGAUGGUGAAGUAGAUGUGUACUGGUUGAAUACUAUGGGCCAAGAAUUCUUGUAUGAACAAUUGAUAUUCCACAAAGAGGAGUUCGCUACAGUUUGGGUUUAUCAAAGUACUAGUUUUAUCAAAAGUAAGGGCAGUGGCAGGGUUGUCACCAUUGCAGCAAGUACCUCAUUUACCAACUCUAUACCAUUGCCACUACAGUAUUGGAAUUAUGGGUCUGUGUGGAAAUUACAGUUCUGUUGUAUGGUCUUUCUGAUCAGUGUCAAACAAGCUUGCGGCGCCUAUGGAUAUCUUGGAUGAAAACUUGGAAGAAUCUGAUCCAGCAAGAUGAAAGAUGUGGCCUGUUCAUUCAAAAUAUGUUCAGAGGCUGUGUAAAUCAAAUGGAUGAAUUGUGUCUUAGUGCACCUGAUCUACAAAUGCCAUGGGAUCCUGGUGGUUUAUGUUUACUCAAGUUUCUAGCUAUCUCUUCUCUUGGACAAAUCACAUUUCAGGCAGUCAAAUUCUCAUUGCAAGACAGUUCUCUCUUUCACAUGCGAAGUGCCAGGAUUUGCUUGAGCUGUUCUUUUGAGAUGCAAGUUUUCUGUUGGCACGCUGAAAACAAAUUGGACAUUAAUGAAGCUUUUGGAACGAUGCAAGAAUACUAGAGAAAUCAAAGUGGAGGUUUGCCAUUUCUGAAGUUUACUUGUCAUCAACUUAUGGACAAGUCAGUUUCAAGGAGAGGAGAUUGUCAGGAACCCAUUGGGCUGCACAUGGGCUGACUCAAUUGCUAAUCCAUGCCAAGGGCCAAACAAACAAAGGAGAGGGAUACAAAAGGCAGCAGCAGGAGAACUUCAAGCAACGAACAGAUCAGGCAUCAGCGGCUUCGGCCACGGCGGCGGCUUGGUUCGGUUGAACCUCGUCGAUCUCUAUCUCUUUCUUACUCUCUCGUGUUCCUCUUCACUGCCAUUUCUAGAAGCUUCCUCUACUUCUUCUCACUCAAUUUCUCUUCUAUUCUCUGAGUUUGUAUUGAAUUCUAUUGUUCUUGAGAACAAUUAGUUUGGAGGAAGAGGGUUGUUAACAAUGGCAGACAAAAUUAAACAAUUCGCACAUGCUCAAGACUGAGAUGCAGAAAAAUAUUGCUAAUAUCAUAUAA